rnacentral:rRNA from 1 species
GGCAGAGGGUGCGAACGUUGUUCGGAAUUACUGGGCGUAAAGCGCAUGUAGGCGGCAGCGCAAGUCGGGCGUGAAAUCCCACGGCUCAACCGUGGAAGUGCACUCGAAACUGCGCAGCUAGAGUCCUGGAGAGGAAGGUGGAAUGCUUGGUGUAGAGGUGAAAUUCGUAGAUAUCAAGCGGAACACCGGUGGCGAAGGCGGCCUUCUGGACAGUGACUGACGCUGAGAUGCGAAAGCGUGGGGAGCAAACAGG